rnacentral:rRNA from 1 species
UUGAAAGGGAAACGAUUGAAGUCAGUCGUACCGACGGAAAAUCAGCUCUUCGAGUGCGGACUUGUGGGCGUGCGUGAGCUUUAACCGGCCUCGUCGUUUGCUACGUUUGUGCUUUUUGGGUGUACUUUUUCGUAUGGUAGGCCAACGUCAGUUUCGAUCACCAUAAAAUGAUCGGAGGAAUGUAGCUUCGAUCUUGUAUUGAAGUGUUAUAGCCUUUGGUAGAUGUGGUGACUGAGACUGAGGAUUGCAACGAAUACCCUUUGGGCUAUCCGUCUGACCUCUGAAAGUUGCUUAGGUGCCGAAAGCUUGCUUACGGUCAUCUAUGACGACGGUCAAAAGGUUAGAACGUGAUUAUAUUCGUUAAGGAUGUUGACGUA